GCCAUUCACAGCCCAGCGUUUCCUUGUUGUUGCAAAAAUGUGUUUAGACCCAACCUACCUUAUCCACCAAUCACAGGAGAGCGUUUCCUCCCACUGUAUCUCUAGCUCAUCCACGGCUUCACGAGGAGAAGGUAAAAGAUUUACGUUUUUUAACACGACGAGACAGCAAACAGUCGACUGUAUCGUCGCCUUCCUACCUGCCGCCAUGUUUUUACUGACGCGUAGGACUUAAGAACCUAUUUUAGGUGAUAUUAAACAUUUUUUGUUAGACCCUAUUGCUGUUCGCUUUGUGCUGAAGCUUGUUUUCAGUUGAUACUAACCAGUUACAAAGUGACACUAAACGAUGAGAUAAGACUGUAAGAGCUGGAGAUGGAUGAGGGAGCCGUCGGAGUAGAUUAUUCCAUCUGGAAUCUCCUGAAAUCUACAGCCACAGCCAUCCUGCUCAGGAAGAGCAACGAUGAUGUUAAGCUUGGACUUUGCUUCACUUUUUGGACAGUGAUAUCAUUUAGCUUUGAUUUACUGUUAAAAAUGUAGACAGUGCGGUGUUUUCAGUUGAUUCAAAAAGUCUUUCUCGCCUUGUUUCUCCGCAAAUGCGGGUAUAGCAGAUAUGAUAAACAAAAACAUCAUUUAGACAAGUUAUGAUUUGUGAGUAGGAACGCAGCAAUAUGCUCUUACCCUAAAGGGAAAUUUUCUCUUAUUGUCUACCUUCUGCUGCGGGAGGUCUCCAUCAUCCUAAUGAUGUAGGCUCUCCUUUACUAUCAAAAAGCGUAAAUAGAGAUCCUUUCUUGUGCCGUUUAGGAUGCAGCACCAUUAUUAGCCUCAUACGCAUACCAUAAUGAAGAUGAAGAAAGAUCAGUUUUAUUUGUACUCUGCAGCAAUAAAAGUAAAUUUCUCGUUCUUGCCACAGGCGAAUACUGAGUGGCUUCCUUCAAAGUUCAGCCUCCCCUCUCUCUUCUUCUGUGGUGCUUUAAAGGAGCGAUUUAAAUCCGCAAGUAUUCAUCAACAGAUUUUUUUGAAAUGGGAACUCGUUUACAUGCAUUAGACGUCCCGAGCCUCAUCCUCGGGCUUACAGCUAUUUUUUCCUUUUUUGUGUUUUGCAGCAGAUAUUACAGCUGUUUAGCGAACCGAUAGUUAUCCCGACUGGUUGCGCUCAUUGCUCAAGAAGAGGAAACAAUGGGGACACUUGAUUUUUACAGCCUGUGUCUGGUGACCAUGUUUAACAGCGAGCGUCACAGAUUUACCUCAGUGUUACUUCGCUUUGACUUUUACACUUUACUGGGCUAUAAAAUAAAGUGUUUUGGAUCAGUAGCUUGGUUUUUGUUCAAAUUUAGUCGCUUUUGUCAGUUGACAAAUUUCCAAUGUUUUAAAUGAUUUUAUCUUGCCCAAUUGAAGCACCAAACUGUAGGGUUGCAUAGCAUGUCCCUCUUUUUUUAGAACACCAUGUCAUGAUGAGAUUUUUCCACUUGCUUUACUGUUUUGUCAUGAAAAACUCAGGCUUCCAUGCAAACCUGCAUCAGAUGGCAUCACAGAAGGCACAGACAACUUACCAGUUAUUUUCAUUACAUCCUUUUGCCUUUUUCUUUUACUUUUUUCUUGUUUAUCUGCAUGUUUUUAAGCAAAUUCUUCCUUUUCAAGGGGUUUACUUGCAUGCUGUCCCCAGAGAUUACCAAUGCUUAGCUGAUCAGCUCUCAUCUUGUUCCUUUUGUGACAUUAUAUGAGGUAAUUACUCCAUUACUCCUCGUUAAUACAGUGGUGAGUAUGCCCGCCUGUCACGCGGGAGACCGGGGUUCGAUUCCCCGAUGGGGAGUGAAGUUUGUUUCAGGUCCCUCUUGAAAAUGAGAUCUAGAUCUCAAUGGGGUUUACCUAAUUAAAUAAAGGAAUUAUCAAACCUAAUCAUACCAGAUUUUUUUAAAAUUUUUUUAUUUCUUUUGGUUAUUAAGAACUGUACUUUGUAAAACCCUGCAGUACAAAUCCAUGCUUCUUUUAUUUCCAGUUUUAUUGUCAGUGAAAACAAACAUACACCAUUGGACGCCAUUUUUAAUGAAAACAACGAGAACAUGCGUAGAAGACGUUUUCUCAGCGUUUUAUUGAGGGCUUUCAGGCACGAACAGGAGAAGAUGAACAUUACGCUGCAUUUGUGUCGAGAUCAAAAUGGUGCAACUUUCAAGUGUUUCAAGCAAGCUUUUCCCUCUCACCGUGACAUAAGCUAAUAACAUGGUGUGAAUGAAUAACAUAAACAGGGCUCGCUAUUAACUAAACUACGUCGGAAGUCAAAAAGAAAAAAAAAAAAGCCUUACAGGUUACAUCUGCUAUAGAAAUCCUCGUCUAUUUACUGACACAUAUUUGUCAUUUUUCUUCUUAGAAACUGGGAGCAAAAACCAUCUCUCGUGUGAAUGGGCUAAUUGAAACAGGUAGGCCCUUAAGGAAUGGAGGUCACUUUAUCUGUAGACCUUGCUCCACUCAGAGGGAGUCAAUAAUCACUGCUGACACGUCCCAGGGGCCUCGCAGUGUUCUGCAUUCAUCCGUACAGGUUCAGAGAUAAGUGGUAAGGUUCCAAGGUAAAUGACAUGUUGAAGUGAUACGAGGUUCAAACUGUGCAGUGUUUUUCAAUAAAGAUUUAAUUAGGUCUUUAUGUGGUAAUUGAGGUUUUUAUCUUGCUUUCCAGUUGCUUAUACUGAGCGUUCUUACAGAACUGUUGAAAGUUACUGUUCCUGAAAGUGAAAUUUGCCAUCAACACCUUCUACCAUCUCUGAGCAGGUGCAAGUGGAGGAAAGGAAGGUAAAGGCAGGUACUUGCUUGAUUUUGUGGGUAAAUAUUUUGUUUUGUGAUUUUGCUCCCCCCGCCCCAUACAUUAAGGCUACUCAAUGCAACUGGUAUGGUGACAGUAGCUCAGCAUCUGUAGAGUGGAAUGUAAAGACUGGGAGGGGACUUGCGUUGUUUGGAGUUCAUUUAGAAAUUUGAUGCAGAAGUUAAUGAAAUCCUUCACAGUUGAUAGAAUUUAAAUAGUUUGAAGCUCAGAAAGUAAAUAAAAUCAAGGACCACAUCUAGAUUUUACAUCGAGAUGGAAAAUCUAGAUGUACCCCUUACGUUCAAUAAUUUUGUUGCACAAAAGUAAACAUUAAACAUAUACGUAUACUAAGAGCUACGAACAAGACUUUUUCUCACAGCAGGAAGCCAUUGAAAACACUACAAAUGUUGGCUUAAAACAAAAACUGGUGAGAGAUAAAGAUAAAAACAUCACUUCUGAUCUGAUUAUGUUGAAAUAGUAGACAUGUUAUUCUGUGUGCCUUGCUGGUCUUCUUUUAUAACAGAAAUACUUUUAAUACGGUGAUACAGACCGAAAUCUAACGUUUGACGCAUGUCAAAUGAGAAUUUUAAUUGUGUCAUGAAAACUAGAUUUCGAAAGGAGUUUGACAUUUUUUUCAAAUUAAAAGUGGUGCUUGAAUGCAUCACAAAAGGCUUUGUUUUGCCUUUUUUUUUUUCCAACUGUAAGCUAAAUUGUGUCAACCUGGGAAAGUAAUUUGCCAUAAAUUUGAGAAGAUGCUUAUAAUGACUUUUAUGCAAACCAAAAGGGGAAAAAAAAAAGAAUUAUCACAGCAUAUAACGGCUUUCUGGAUCCAAACAAAUUUGUGAAAACAGCCUAAAUACUGGCUUUCAUAUUUCUUAAGAAUAAAAUUCAUGCGCUAUUACACUUACAAACUUCAGAUCUUGCAAACGUACAAUUUUUGCAUAAUUUUUAAGUUUCAGAUCCUGUGAACAACAGCUUCAUAUUUAUUAAAACAAAAACAAUUAAAUGCAUUCCAAAUUCUUUAAAUUGUGGCACAAAACUGUUUUUUAAAAAAAAUAUAUAAUUCUUUCAGGCGUGACAAUGCAAAAACUGAUUGCAUUUAAGAUAUUAAAAAAAAUAAAAUAUGGAAGCAAAUUUGGCUCGCCAGACAAAAAUAAAAACAGUAAACAAGAACAGAAGCAGCAGCCUGGAGGAGAAAGUUUUCCAGCAAGAUUAGCACAGAGCUGCAUGCCAAUGCAUGGCCGUAUAGGCUGCACUCAGGCUGAAAUGUGUGACAAAGCCUGCAAAUAUCCGUGUGACCCUUUGAGAACACACACUUUCAGCACAGCAGGAACAUGUGCUGCAAAAAUAUGCCAGAAAAAAAUGUAAAUAAAACUCUGCCCUCUCAGAAGUGUUUUAAGUAACAGCAUUUUAUUAUUCAGCAGUAAGAUUAAAAUUUGUUCAAAUAAAUGUAAGGAAAGAGAAGCAAAGAGUUCUCAAAAUGAUUAUUCUAGACAAAACAUCAUUUGCAUCAAAAUUAGAUCAGAUCCGUUUGAAGUUU